CCUACGGGAGGCAGCAGUGGGGAAUCUUGCGCAAUGGGCGAAAGCCUGACGCAGCCAUGCCGCGUGAAUGAUGAAGGUCUUAGGAUUGUAAAAUUCUUUCACCGAGGACGAUAAUGACGGUACUCGGAGAAGAAGCCCCGGCUAACUUCGUGCCAGCAGCCGCGGUAAUACGAAGGGGGCUAGCGUUGCUCGGAAUUACUGGGCGUAAAGGGAGCGUAGGCGGAUAGUUUAGUCAGAGGUGAAAGCCCAGGGCUCAACCUUGGAAUUGCCUUUGAUACUGGCUAUCUUGAGUACGGAAGAGGUAUGUGGAACUCCGAGUGUAGAGGUGAAAUUCGUAGAUAUUCGGAAGAACACCAGUGGCGAAGGCGACAUACUGGUCCGUUACUGACGCUGAGGCUCGAAAGCGUGGGGAGCAAACAGGAUUAGAUACCCUGGUAGUCCACGCUGUAAACGAUGAGUGCUAGUUGUCGGCAUGCAUGCAUGUCGGUGACGCAGCUACGCAUUAAGUACACUCCGCCGUCGGGUAGGUACGGUCGCGAGAUUAAACGUACGAAGAAGUAGUAGCGUGAGAGAGCGACGACGACGACGACGGGAGGAGG
rnacentral:rRNA from 1 species